GGACUAACAGGUUGGUCGCGCCUUUGGUGUGCACUGGCCUAGUUGGUUUCUCCCUUCUGACGAACCACGAUGUCAUUAAUUUGGUGUCGUGGGAAAUCAGGACUGUUACUUUGAAAAAAUUAGAGUGUUUAAAGCAAGCGCUAGCUUGAAUACAUUAGCAUGGAAUAAUGAAAUAGGACGUUUGACCCUAUUUGUUUGGUUUCUAGGAUCGACGUAAUGAUUAAUAGGGAUAGUUGGGCU
rnacentral:rRNA from 1 species